rnacentral:lncRNA from 1 species
GUGGUUGGCUGUGUCGAUCGAUGUCGGGUGGUAUAGAUCGAUGAUGUGAGGUGGUUGUCGAUCGAUCUCAUCAGGUUGGUGUCGACCGAUGCUAGCCUUUGAAGUUUCCAUAUCUCCUCUCGAAGUAUGCUGAUCAUCAUCAAGCUUCUUCUUCGAAUUUUGAUCCAUAUCUUCAAGCCAUUCCUCCAGCUCUAAGGAGUCUUAGAUAGUGACUUCUCUGUCUACAUCGUCGAUCGAUGAUGAGGUUGUAACGUUGAUCGACGUUGAGGUCUUGAUAUCGAUCGACAUUGAGGUUGUGAUGUCGUUCGAUGUUGAGAUCGUGCCGUCGGUCGACGUUGAGGUCGUGCCGUCGGUCGACGUUGAGGUCGCGUUUUCAGUACCAGCUUCCUCUACUCAGCUCAGCUCUCCAGACACAUGUUGUUCAUCCCUUGUUGCCAUAAUG